rnacentral:rRNA from 1 species
GAUGAACGCUGGCGGCGUGCCUAAUACAUGCAAGUCGAGCGAACGGACGAGAAGCUUGCUUCUCUGAUGUUAGCGGCGGACGGGUGAGUAACACGUGGAUAACCUACCUAUAAGACUGGGAUAACUUCGGAAAACCGGAGCUAAUACCGGAUAAUAUUUUGAACCGCAUGGUUCAAAAGUGAAAGACGGUCUUGCUGUCACUUAUAGAUGGAUCCGCGCUGCAUUAGCUAGUUGGUAAGGUAACGGCUUACCAAGGCAACGAUGCAUAGCCGACCUGAGAGGGUGAUCGGCCACACUGGAACUGAGACACGGUCCAGACUCCUACGGGAGGCAGCAGUAGGGAAUCUUCCGCAAUGGGCGAAAGCCUGACGGAGCAACGCCGCGUGAGUGAUGAAGGUCUUCGGAUCGUAAAACUCUGUUAUUAGGGAAGAACAUAUGUGUAAGUAACUGUGCACAUCUUGACGGUACCUAAUCAGAAAGCCACGGCUAACUACGUGCCAGCAGCCGCGGUAAUACGUAGGUGGCAAGCGUUAUCCGGAAUUAUUGGGCGUAAAGCGCGCGUAGGCGGUUUUUUAAGUCUGAUGUGAAAGCCCACGGCUCAACCGUGGAGGGUCAUUGGAAACUGGAAAACUUGAGUGCAGAAGAGGAAAGUGGAAUUCCAUGUGUAGCGGUGAAAUGCGCAGAGAUAUGGAGGAACACCAGUGGCGAAGGCGACUUUCUGGUCUGUAACUGACGCUGAUGCGCGAAAGCGUGGGGAUCAAACAGGAUUAGAUACCCUGGUAGUCCACGCCGUAAACGAUGAGUGCUAAGUGUUAGGGGGUUUCCGCCCCUUAGUGCUGCAGCUAACGCAUUAAGCACUCCGCCUGGGGAGUACGACCGCAAGGUUGAAACUCAAAGGAAUUGACGGGGACCCGCACAAGCGGUGGAGCAUGUGGUUUAAUUCGAAGCAACGCGAAGAACCUUACCAAAUCUUGGCAUCCUUUGACAACUCUAGAGAUAGAGCCUUCCCCUUCGGGGGACAAAGUGACAGGUGGUGCAUGGUUGUCGUCAGCUCGUGUCGUGAGAUGUUGGGUUAAGUCCCGCAACGAGCGCAACCCUUAAGCUUAGUUGCCAUCAUUAAGUUGGGCACUCUAAGUUGACUGCCGGUGACAAACCGGAGGAAGGUGGGGAUGACGUCAAAUCAUCAUGCCCCUUAUGAUUUGGGCUACACACGUGCUACAAUGGACAAUACAAAGGGCAGCGAAACCGCGAGGUCAAGCAAAUCCCAUAAAGUUGUUCUCAGUUCGGAUUGUAGUCUGCAACUCGACUACAUGAAGCUGGAAUCGCUAGUAAUCGUAGAUCAGCAUGCUACGGUGAAUACGUUCCCGGGUCU